rnacentral:rRNA from 1 species
CACGUAUGGGGCGAGCGUUGUUCGGAAUUAUUGGGCGUAAAGGGUACGCAGGCGGUUUGAAAAGUCUGGUGUUAAAGCCCGCAGCUUAACUGCGGAAAGGCAUUGGAAACUGUCGAACUAGAGUUCUUGAGGGGUAGUUGGAAUUCCAGGUGUAGGGGUGAAAUCUGUAGAUAUCUGGAAGAACAUCAAUGGCGAAGGCAAACUACUGGCAAUGAACUGACGCUGAGGUACGAAAGUGUGGGGAGCAAACAGG